CUUUUAAAGGAUCAAAGUCUAAUCCGUUGGUCUUAGGAACCAG
rnacentral:tRNA from 1 species